UAGUGGCGAUCGGGUGCGUAACACGUAGCUGACCUGCCCUUCCGCGGGGGACAACCGUCCGAAAGGAUGGCUAAUACCGCAUACGCUCAGGGGGACGAAACGACCUUGAGGAAACUUACGGGGCGGAAGGAGGGGGCUGCGGCCCAUCAGGUAGUUGGUGAGGUAACGGCUCACCAAGCCGACGACGGGUAGGGGGCCUGAGAGGGUGGUCCCCCACACUGGAACUGACACACGGUCCAGACUCCUACGGGAGGCAGCAGUAAGGGAUAUUGGUCAAUGGGCGAAAGCCUGAACCAGCAACGCCGCGUGGAGGAUGAAGGUUUUCGGGUUGUAAACUUCUUUGGAGGGGGACGAGAGCGGACGGUACCCCUCGAACAAGUCACGGCUAACUACGUGCCAGCAGCCGCGGUAAAACGUAGGUGGCGAGCGUUAUCCGGAUUUACUGGGCGUAAAGGGUGUGCAGGCGGGGCCUCAAGUGGUGCAUGAAAGCUUUCGGCUUAACCGGGAAAUGGUGUGCCAGACUGAGGGCCUAGAGGGUGGGAGAGGGACGUGGAAUUCCGGGUGUAGUGGUAAAAUGCGUAGAGAUCCGGAGGAACACCAGAGGCGAAGGCGGCGUCCUGGCCCACACC
rnacentral:rRNA from 1 species